GACGGGAAGGGGGCGGGGCGCAAGCAAGGAAACUCGGGGAGUUUACCAGUACGCAGCUUCCACCUCAGGCUCUCCAGGUGCCGCUUCUGUAUCAACGAAAGGGCUCUGAAUGUGCAGUCUGCAGCAUGAAGCUCGCUGUCAGGCCUGGGCAGCUGUAGAAAACGUCAGCAGAACCGAGAACCGAGCUGGAGGAAAGCUUCCCAAGUCUGACACACACAUGUGCUGUGUUUGUGACCCCAGCCUGGUCCCGAGGCUGCCGUCCAGUGCCGUCACCCGACUGGCCCUGCAAGCACACAGGCCUGUUCACCUCCGACUGCUCGGGAUCCUGCGUCCGUGCGUCCGGCUGUCGGGCUGCUGGAGUGAGGGACUGAGAUGGAAGGACCACAGACUCACUCCAUGAGGCCCAUCGGCGGCAGCGGGGGCGGCAUCGUCACCGAGACACGCCUUGCCGAGUCCUGGCCCUGUGCCUCGCCGGUGCCGCUGGCCUGCCACGCGCCCCUCUGUGCCUUCCCUGUGCGCGGCCGCGGCCUCUGCGUGUGGAGCAGCUCGGACCCUGUGGGCCAGGUGCGCAGCCCCGGGGACCCAGAGAACCCUGAGUCCCUCUCCGACCCGUGACGCUGGGGCCAUCCACCCUCCGUGGGUUCCACUGACAGCCAAGGGGAGGAAGUGGACACACCCGGGGUGUUCUGUGAACUCGAUUUUCAUAAAGUGAGCUGUCCAGAGCCACCUCAUUAAAACAGUUCUUCAGAAAGAACAUGAGCUCUUGCUCAGAACCUAUUAUAGAUCCUACCACAGGCAGG